rnacentral:rRNA from 1 species
CCUACGGGAGGCAGCAGUGGGGCAUAUUGCACAAUGGGGGAAACCCUGAUGCAGCGACGCCGCGUGAGUGAAGAAGUAGUUCGUUAUGUAAAGCUCUAUCAGCAGGGAAGAAAAUGACGGUACCUGAGUAAGAAGCCCAGGCUAACUACGUGCCAGCAGCCGCGGUCAUACGUAGGGGGCAAGCGUUAUCCGGAUUUACUGGGUGUAAAGGGAGCGUAGACGGCAGUGCAAGUCUGGAGUGAAAGGCGGGGGCUCAACCCCCGGACUGCUCUGGAAACUGUACGGCUGGAGUGCAGGAGAGGUAAGUGGAAUUCCUAGUGUAGCGGUGAAAUGCGUAGAUAUCAGGAGGAACACCGGUGGCGAAGGCGGCCUGCUGGACUGCGACUGACGUUGAGGCCCGAAAGCGUGGGGAGCAAACAGGAUUAGAUACCCGAGUAGUC